rnacentral:rRNA from 1 species
UGAGGAAUAUUGGUCAAUGGGCGGAAGCCUGAACCAGCCAAGUCGCGUGAGGGAUGACGGUCCUAUGGAUUGUAAACCUCUUUUGCCGGGGAGCAAAGCUCACCUUGCGAGGCGAGCCGGAGAGUACCCGGAGAAAAAGCAUCGGCUAACUCCGUGCCAGCAGCCGCGGUAAUACGGAGGAUGCGAGCGUUAUCCGGAUUUAUUGGGUUUAAAGGGUGCGUAGGCGGGGAGGUAAGUCAGCGAUAAAAUUUCGGUGCUUAACGCCGGACCGCCGUUGAAACUGCCCUCUUGAGUGGGCGAGAAGUAUGCGGAAUGCGUGGUGUAGCGGUGAAAUGCAUAGAUAUCACGCAGAACUCCGAUUGCGAAGGCAGCAUACCGGCGCCCAACUGACGCUGAGGCACGAAAGCGUGGGUAUCGAACAGGAUUAGAUACC